AACGAACGCUGGCGGCAGGCCUAACACAUGCAAGUCGAACGCCCUAGCAAUAGGGAGUGGCAGACGGGUGAGUAACACGUGGGAACCUUCCCUAUAGUACGGAAUAGCUCAGGGAAACUUGAAGUAAUACCGUAUACGCCCGAGAGGGAAAGAUUUAUCGCUAUAGGAUGGGCCCGCGUCGGAUUAGCUAGUUGGUGAGGUAAUGGCUCACCAAGGCGACGAUCCGUGGCUGGUUUGAGAGAACGACCAGCCACACUGGGACUGAGACACGGCCCAGACUCCUACGGGAGGCAGCAGUGGGGAAUAUUGGACAAUGGGCGCAAGCCUGAUCCAGCCAUGCCGCGUGAGUGAUGAAGGCCUUAGGGUUGUAAAGCUCUUUAGCAGGGAAGAUAAUGACUGUACCUGCAGAAUAAGCUCCGGCUAACUUCGUGCCAGCAGCCGCGGUAAU
rnacentral:rRNA from 1 species